UCCUCGAUGGUCUAGUGGCUAUGAUUUCCGCUUGUCAUCCUGUAGUGGGUUACAAUCGCGGGAGACCGGGGUUCGAUUCCCCGUCGGGGAG
rnacentral:tRNA from 1 species